rnacentral:rRNA from 1 species
AGAGUUUGAUCCUGGCUCAGAAUGAACGCUGGCGGCGUGCCUAACACAUGCAAGUCGAGCGGACGUAGCAAUACGUUAGCGGCGGACGGGUGAGGAAUGCAUCGGAACGUGCCGUGUAGUGGGGGAUAACACAGCGAAAGUUGUGCUAAUACCGCAUACGCCCUGAGGGGGAAAGUGGGGGACCGCAAGGCCUCACGCUAUAUGAGCGGCCGAUGCCCGAUUAGCUAGUUGGUGAGGUAAUGGCUCACCAAGGCGACGAUCUGUAGCGGGUCUGAGAGGAUGAUCCGCCACACUGGAACUGAGACACGGUCCAGACUCCUACGGGAGGCAGCAGUGGGGAAUUUUGGACAAUGGGCGCAAGCCUGAUCCAGCCAUGCCGCGUGAGUGAAGAAGGCCUUCGGGUUGUAAAGCUCUUUCAGCCGGGAAGAAAACGCAUGGGUUAAUACCCUGUGUGGAUGACGGUACCGGAAUAAGAAGCACCGGCUAACUACGUGCCAGCAGCCGCGGUAAUACGUAGGGUGCGAGCGUUAAUCGGAAUUACUGGGCGUAAAGCGUGCGCAGGCGGUUUGGUAAGACAGGCGUGAAAUCCCCGGGCUUAACCUGGGAACUGCGUUUGUGACUGCCAGGCUAGAGUACGGCAGAGGGGGGUGGAAUUCCACGUGUAGCAGUGAAAUGCGUAGAGAUGUGGAGGAACACCAAUGGCGAAGGCAGCCCCCUGGGUCGAUACUGACGCUCAUGCACGAAAGCGUGGGGAGCAAACAGGAUUAGAUACCCUGGUAGUCC